GACCUCGUAUGAUCACUGAAGUUAAGCAAUGUUGAGCCUAGUCAGUACCUAGAUAAGAGACCUCUUGGGAAUACCAGCUGCUGCUAU